UCACCAUAUCAAGCUUGGCUUGUUGUUGGGCCCUUUGUCACCUGGUGACAGGUCCGAAAGACAUUGACCGGUGUCAUACUGACUCCCUAUGCAACGAGCUUAUAACAGCACGCAUCUGGUGGUUGUGUGACCCGCUGGAAGCCCAAUUUACCAUGGGCACCCUCUCUUCUCAAA
rnacentral:misc_RNA from 1 species